rnacentral:rRNA from 1 species
CCCUUAGAUGUUCUGGGCCGCACGCGUGCUACACUGAGUGGAUCAGCGGGUCAGGUUGCGCGAAAGUGUUUCCUAAUCUUUAAAUCCGCUCGUGAUGGGGAUUAACGGUUGCAAUUUUCCGUCAUGAACGAGGAAUACCUUGUAAGCGCGGGUCAUCAUCCCGCGCUGAAUACGUCCCUGCCCUUUGUACACACCGCCCGUCGCUCCUACCGAUUGAGUGGUCCGGUGAGGCUUUGGGAUCUGAGCGGAAAGAGCGUUUCGCUGUUUCUGCCCGGAAAACUCAGUCGAACCUUAUCAUUUAGAGGAAGGAGAAGUCGUAACA